rnacentral:misc_RNA from 1 species
UCCGAGUUGACCCCGGCAGUCUCCCAUGAGUCCCCGGCAUCACCCGCUGGCAACAUAGGACAAGGGUUGCGCUCGUUGCGGGACUUAACCCAACAUCUCACGACACGAGCUGACGACAGCCAUGCAGCACCUGUGUCGGCUCCCCUUGCGGGGUCGGGCCCCUUUCGGUUUCCUACCACCGACAUGUCAAACCCUGGUAAGGUUCUUCGGUUAUCAUCGAAUUAAAGAACAUGAUCCGCUACUUGUGCGGACCCCCGUCAAUUCCUUUAUGUUUUAGUCUUGCGACCGUACUCCACAGGCGGGAUACUUAACGCGUUAGCUUCGCUACUGAAGGGGUCGAUACCUCCAACAGCUAGUAUCCAUCGUUUACGGCGUGGACUAC